AGCGAACGCUGGCGGCAGGCUUAACACAUGCAAGUCGAGCGGGCGUAGCAAUACGUCAGCGGCAGACGGGUGAGUAACGCGUGGGAACAUACCUUUUGGUUCGGAACAACACAGGGAAACUUGUGCUAAUACCGGAUAAGCCCUUACGGGGAAAGAUUUAUCGCCGAAAGAUUGGCCCGCGUCUGAUUAGCUAGUUGGUGAGGUAACGGCUCACCAAGGCGACGAUCAGUAGCUGGCUGAGAGGAUGAUCAGCCACAUUGGGACUGAGACACGGCCCAAACUCCUACGGGAGGCAGCAGGUGGGGAAUAUUGGACAAUGGGCGAAAGCCUGAUCCAGCCAUGCCGCGUGAGUGAUGAAGGCCCUAGGGUUGUAAAGCUCUUUUGUGCGGGAAGAUAAUGACGGUACCGCAAGAAUAAGCCCCCGGCUAACUUCGUGCCAGCCGCCGCGGUAAC
rnacentral:rRNA from 1 species